GAUGAAUGUGGUAAAGGGUUUAGUCAGCAUAGUAGUUUACAGACUCAUAUGAGAACACACACAGGUGAUAAACCUCAUAAGUGUGAUGUAUGUGGUAAAGAUUUUAGAUUGCUGGCUCAUUUAAGAAGACACAUGAGAACACAUACAGGAGAUAAACCUCAUAACUGUGGUGUAUGUGGUAAACGGUUUAGUCAGUCUGGUACUUUACAGACACACAUGAGAACACACACGGGUGAAAGACCCCAUAACUGUAAUGAAUGUGGUAAAGAUUUUAAAUUGCUUGGUAAUUUGAGAAAACACACGAGAAUACAUACUGGAGAUAAACCUCAUCACUGUGAUGUAUGUGGUAAAGGAUUUAUUCAACAUGCUUCUUUACAGAG
rnacentral:lncRNA from 1 species